UGCGGGGCCGCACUCAUCGGCGCCUCCGCAGGGCUGUUCCGCGGCCCCGACCGCUGCUGUCGGGAGCACGACCAGUGCUGGGCGCAAAUCACGGCGCUGCAGUUCAACUACGGUAUCCGGAACUAUCGCCUGCACACCGUGUCCCACUGCGAUUGCGACGCCAGGUUCCGGCAGUGCCUGCUCGCCAUCAACGACACCGUCUCCAACAUCAUUGGCGUCACAUUCUUCAACCUGUUGGAGGUGCCAUGCUUUGUGCUGGAAGAGAGUGAGGAGUGCGUCCAGUGGCACUGGUGGGGCGGGUGUGAGCGUUAUGAUGUAGUGCCUCUUGCCAGGAUGGUGCAGCAGAAUCAGUACCACCCCAGCCUACCAGCAGAGAAGAGGGGAAGCCCUACUGUGCAGCCCCCAGGCAAAAGAAGGACUUUCUCUAGAAGAGGGCGUAAGUGGCUUCGACAGGAACUGAGGGCAAAGCCUAGGCAUCACCAGGAUGUGGUUGGAGCAGAGCAAGGAGCUGGAAUCUCAGCAUGUCCUUCGUAUGGCAGCAUUAGACCCAGCCCAGCCACAGCACAGUGUGGAGCCACCCCCAUGCCAGCUGUGAAGGAGCGCAGGGAGCAGGGCACAGGGUGCAGGUGCAACAAACUCCUGGGUAAGUGUGAGCACCAGAUUGCACCCCACGAGGCAAAGUACCAGCUGCACAACGUGGACAGCCGGACACUCCUCCACUGCAACUGCACACACAGGUGUGAGUCCAGGAGGAAAAGGGCACUCUGUGCAUACAGCUGGGGAUCAGAGGAGGUGGGAUGUCUGCCUUGGCCAGCAUUUGCUGAUGUGUGCCCUCCUGUGCCUGCAGGCUGGCACGGUGCCUCCACAGGGCAAGGGACUGCAGUGACAUGGACGUGGCUGUUCUGGCUGACCAUAUCGCCAUGGACUGCUUUGUCCUGGAGCUGCCUGCUGCCUGCAGCCCAGGCAGAGUAUCACAGCACAGGUAAGUGGGGAGGUCAAGAGGCCAGGGCCUGGGUGGGGCAGGAAACCAGUAGUGUAAGUGAUGGCCCCUGCUCUGUUGUGCCACAACCAGGUCGCAGGGCAGGGGGCAGUAGAUGUUGGUGCUGCCAGAUUACAGUGAUGCUCACAGAUUUGCUUCUCCAGCAGCUGUACCACAGUGACCAGGGCUGUGCUUGUACCUGCACGGCAGCUCAAAAAGAUUCUAAGACGCUGGGGCCUUCUGCGUGUGAGCUCCAAGUCCAAACAUCCACACAGGAAGACACAGGCCAGGGGAGGCACCCUCUGUGA
rnacentral:lncRNA from 1 species